rnacentral:lncRNA from 1 species
GGGAUUAUAUACACGUAAGCGGUUAAGCCAUAUAAUUUUUCUUCGACAGGGCAGUUAAAGCAUAUACGCAGUUUGAGAAUAUUUGACCAAAGUCAUAUAAAAACGUAGCGCUUCUGCCCUGGCCUUCAGCUCAUUUAGUAUAUUGCAAGAUAAAACUCUGAGACAUAUACCUCUACUGCAUUUACAAGCCGCAUGUAUUAAACUCCCAUAGAAUAUACGGUAC